GGAGCGAUGCCAGAGAGGCCCAAUGGCACACGUUGGAAGCGUGAUGGUCGCGUAAGCGGCACCUGAGUUCGAAUCUCAGUCGCUCCGCCA
rnacentral:tRNA from 1 species